GUGAGUAACACGUGGAUAACCUACCUAUAAGACUGGGAUAACUUCGGGAAACCGGAGCUAAUACCGGAUAAUAUUUUGAACCGCAUGGUUCAAAAGUGAAAGACGGUCUUGCUGUCACUUAUAGAUGGAUUCGCGCUGCAUUAGCUAGUUGGUAAGGUAACGGCUUACCAAGGCAACGAUGCAUAGCCGACCUGAGAGGGUGAUCGGCCACACUGGAACUGAGACACGGCCCAG
rnacentral:rRNA from 1 species